GAGAAAAAUGUGAAUAAGAUCAAAACGUACAAUCUUCAAAUGUACUAUAGAAACUGCUCUUUGGUGAGUGGCACAGAAUGCAUAUGAACAUUUAUUGCAUGGCUGAAUAUCUUUUUUUGCAGUGAAUAAAUUAAUACACUGUGUUUGUAUAGCUUUUGUUGUACUCUACGACACAUUUAUCAGGUGUGUUUUGUUGUCCCUACAAUCAAAAGCACACAGAUAACGGAACUCUCUCAGGUUCGUAUCACAGUUAGUGCUAAACCUUGCAAAUAAUAGUGUCUAUAAUCUGAAACACAACACCUGCUUCUGUUGCAGUGUGUGCCAUCAUGAUUUAUAAGUCUGCACAGAAGAACAGCAGCAUCAGUUUAAUCUAUAAAGGGUAGCUGGUUGAAUGGUUGAAAAAGUCCAGGUGGUUGCAGAGUCAGGAGAAAAGGUGCUGGCACCAGGUCACAGCCCGUCUGCCGUCAACAAACUCGCUCUGGACCUCAGCUUAAUCUUAAUCUAAUAUAUACAAGUCAGCUAGAGAGAAAGGAAAAAAAACUAAUUAAAAGCUCCACUAUUUGAACCUUGUGAAAUAACUUCACUCUGAUAAGGUGCUGAUGUGGUGGUGAUUGAGCCACAGUACUUCCUGUCCUCACAUUCCCUUUGGCACUGCCCAUGAACUAACAUUUCAGGCACACUUGCAUGCACAUUUUCAUUUUGCACAUUCAUUCAAACACAUUCAAAGCAAACAGUGCAGCUGAACACAAGUACGAGCAUGCAGCUUUAGCAAAAAAAAAGAAAAGAAAGAAAGAAAAAAAGAGCUGACAUACGUUGCCUCAGUGAGUGAUGUGAGGACUCAUUCCUGGGUGAGAGUCAGAGAUCAGUCUGCCAGAGCCAUCUGUCAAGCAGGCUGGGUACAAAGGAAGUAGGAGCAAGUGUCCCUCUCCCUCCUUCCUGUGCGUCUCUCUUGCUUCACAACAAAGUCCCGUGUUGCGUUGGAGAAGAGAGCAGCACUCCACGAGCCGGGGAAUCCUCUGUCAGACUAAAGCCAAUUUAAAGCAGUUUAAAUCCCAGAUGAGAAGAUGGAGCGAUGCACCUCCCUCUUCUUCAGGAACGACGACUUGCUACCGCACAGCUCAAAACCCCCUCUCUCGGUUUCUUCGGUCUCCUUCUCCGCUCUCUUUCUCUCCCCUUCCUGAUCCUGCUCCACUUGUACGUUCGCUUGCUCUCUCUCACUCUGGCAUGCAUUUUUAUCCACUGUGGCUCAAGCCCCCACAGGCACGCAUACACACACACUGCACUCUCCACACAAACAUAUGCAAAUAACAGAGAUAAACAAACACACCAAGAAAAAAGAAAAACUCCUGUCAGCUUCUUUAGAGUAUUUGUCUUCAAUGUAACUGGU
ensembl:lncRNA